UACGGGGGGAGCAAACGUUGUUCGGAAUCACUGGGCGUAAAGGGCGUGUAGGCGGCUGAAUAAGUGGGAUGUUAAAUCCCCCGGCUCAACCGGGGACCUGCAUCUCAUACUGUUCAGCUCGAGCACAUCAGAGGAGACUGGAAUUCCCGGUGUAGCGGUGAAAUGCGUAGAUAUCGUAAGGAAGACCAGUGGCGAAGGCGGGUCUCUGGACAGUUCCUGACGCUGAGGCACGAAGGCCAGGGGAGCAAACGGG
rnacentral:rRNA from 1 species